GCGACCGUGGCGGAACUGGCAGACGCGCCAGCCUUAGGAGCUGGUAUCACAGAUGUGUGAGUUCGAGUCUCUCCGGUCGCACCA
rnacentral:tRNA from 3 species